UUUACUAUUUUUCAAAAAUCAAAGUUUUCGAUUGCUCAAAACUGCCGAAUAUGGUAGACUGUAGUAAAACAGUCAUAUCUCCUAAACUACUUGGAGUUUUUAAUCCUACUUUUUUUUUGAAUGAAACUAGACUCAAAGAGGUUUCAAAUGGAAUAGGUUACCACUACAUUGGAGUUCUGUGCCGAGUCCGGUGACGUUUAUAAAUCGUGUCAGUGCAGAAUGAAGUUUGUUUGUGACAUGUCUAUGUGUGAUUUGAUAUGUUUAUGUGAUUAUGCUUGUUUAUGUGCUUGAUUGUUAUGAGUUUAAUCCGAGUUGAGUGUUAAGUCGAGAGUAGGACUUGUGAAUCCUUAGGAGUUAAGUAUACCUAGGGAUUGAGAUUUAUUUGGGUAAAUAGAAGAUGAGUGAUGAGUUAUAUAGUUUGAGACGAGAUUGGAUUUUAGUAAAUGAGUUUCUAACUGAGGUUUAUCUUAUCUCAUGAACCACUCCGACAUUGUGACAUCUGAAGAUACGAGCAGAGGACGGAGGUAAGAUCGUCCAAGUACUACGAGAGUAAGCUAAGUUUGUCAGGUGGGCAUUAUUUUGAUAUACCUAUUAUACGAGCUUUCUUAAAUGAUAUGAUACUUAUGAUUAUGAAUUGAGUUAAUGUUAUGCUUGAAACUAAUUGACUUGCCGAGUUUUGUUAAUAAUGACUUGUGUGUUACCCUCUACUGUUGAGACGAAUUCGGUCCUGCCACAAGCGGGAUUUUGUGCACAGAGGUGACUGUGAGCCGUCUAUCGGGUCGGCCGGUCACGGUACUUGAGAGGGAGGCCUACUUCUCAGUACCUUUAAUGAUGAGUAGUGGAUGUGGUACAUACAUAAUGAAUGUUUAAACUGCGCAGUUACUUUAUUAUGAUGUUAUGAUUUGCGAAAUUGCAUGCACAGGUUCUUCUCUAACUAAAACCCUUGUGCGUUGCUUAAUGUGGCAAGUUCAAUUUAUAGCUCUAAGAGCAAGCUUUCUUUUGUUUUUCGGCAUAUGUCCACUGAGUACUUUGUACUCAGCCCUGCAUGUAUUUCUAAAUGUGCAGGAUAAGCGAGGAGGAGGAAGAUCGGUCUGGUGCUGGCGGGGAC
rnacentral:lncRNA from 1 species